rnacentral:tRNA from 3 species
GCUGGAAUGGCGGAAUUGGUAGACGCGACUGAUUUAGAAUCGGUAUUUUGAGAGUUCGAAUCUCUUUUCCUGAA